UACGUAGGGGGCUAGCGUUGUCCGGAAUCAUUGGGCGUAAAGAGCGUGUAGGCGGCCCGGUAAGUCCGCUGUGAAAGUCGGGGGCUCAACCCUCGAAUGCCGGUGGAUACUGUCGGGCUAGAGUGCGGAAGAGGCGAGUGGAAUUCCUGGUGUAGCGGUGAAAUGCGCAGAUAUCAGGAGGAACACCGAUUGCGAAGGCAGGUCUCUGGGCAUUAACUGACGCUGAGGAGCGGAAAGCAUGGGGAGCGAACAGG
rnacentral:rRNA from 1 species